CCAUUACUUCGUUUUCUCUACUCCCAUUCUCAAAUCUGGCUCUAUCAGGUAAUAACUUUUCAAUCUUUCAUUGUGUUUGCCUCAUUGAACUUAUUUAUAUUUCUGUUUGCUCAAAUUUGUUUAAGGCAUUUCUUUUUGGUAGAUUUCUACAUAUACAUAUUGUGCUUUUGAGUUUUCGGUAGAUUUCUACAUAUACAGUUUGUGCUUUUGAGAAUAAUAAUUUUACUAUGUGAGUUUUCUUUUUUAAAUUACGGAUCUUUUGUCUUUUGGUCCAUUGUUGCUGAAGGUGUAUUUUCAAUUAUUCCUUGGUCACUCUUGUUGAGAGAGAUAUGUAAUCUUGCCCUUUGUUGCCGAAGUCUACAUGACCUUGUGGCCUUGGAGAAAAUCUGGCUUGCUUCCAUCUUCAAAUUAUAUCUAGGUUCAUGAUGUGAAAACCAACUAAAUUGGGGAAGAUAUCAUGCUCCUUUGCCACAUCGACCAUGAAAAUGUAA